CAAUUGGACUUUUUGUGGCCGAAAUGUCAGAUAUAUGUGGACAUGUCUCCAAAAGUUCUCUCUGCAAUGCUGCUUCUACUUGCAGUUUGUGAUCUCCCAGGCCUAUUUCGUAGAGAUGCUGUGGAUUUAAAGUGGCAUUUAAAGUACCCAAGAUGUUUCACCUUCUGCAGUCCACAGGUGAUGGCCAGUAAACAGGUGCUGAAAAACCUGGAAGCGAACCCUUUUGGUUAGAGUUAUCUUUCCAGUGGAGAACACAUUUUUUGGAGAGCCGUGUUUCUCGGAUGGCAAUGUUUGUUUUUCUUGAAGAGCUCGUUCAUUCAGGUCAGCUGGAGCUGGUGGAGGCAGGUGUGGUGCUGCAGAGCACAGGUGAUGGGGAUGCUCAAGGAGAGGAACCGGCCAGUGCAACUUCAACGCCCGUCCUCCCUGCACCAAGGGAGCCCAGCGCAGCCCAGGAUGAAAACAGAGAGCAUGUACAUGCCCGACUCUGCUUUCGGUACGCGCUAACGCACUCGGGGACGUUCCUGCACGGGGUGCUGAACGUAUUGUUUCCUUUCUGCGCUGUGAGACCGUACCAGUGAUCUGGAGAGCAAUGAGCCUCCCAGCCUGCUGCUUGCCAAAACCGAGAGGGAGGACUCGUGUGUUACCACUCCUCAGCUGAGGAACUGCAGGGCUGGGUCGUUCCGCGCCUCUGCUCGCCAUACAAAAGCCCUGAGUAAGUCAGGAGCUCGGUGUUGUUAACUGCGGGUCAACGCUUCCUCGGCAUG